ACAGGUCUGAACCUGUAUAAAUAGUGUAUUAAGUUCAGAGCGGUGCGAAAGUGUUUAAACACUUUUGUGCGUUACA
rnacentral:ribozyme from 1 species